AAGUCGUAACAAGGUUUCCGUAGGUGAACCUGCGGAAGGAUCAUUAUUGAAUAAUUAUGGUGGGUUGUAGCUGGCUUCUCGAAGCAUUGUGCACACCUGCUGUCUUUAUCUAUCCCUCUGUGCACCUUUUGUAGUCCUUGGAAGAGUGUGGCAUUAGAUCCUAACGUGUGAAGUGAAGUAAUUCCUUCCUCAAGGUAGUCAACUCUUCCGGGUCUAUGUUUUUGCAUACACCUAUAUAGCAUGUUGCAGAAUGUAAUCAAUGGGCCUUUGUGCCUAUAAAACUAUAUACAACUUUCAGCAACGGAUCUCUUGGCUCUC
rnacentral:misc_RNA from 1 species